AGUGAACGCUGGCGGUAGGCCUAACACAUGCAAGUCGAACGGCAGCACAGUAAGAGCUUGCUCUUACGGGUGGCGAGUGGCGGACGGGUGAGGAAUACAUCGGAAUCUACUUUUUCGUGGGGGAUAACGUAGGGAAACUUACGCUAAUACCGCAUACGACCUACGGGUGAAAGCAGGGGAUCUUCGGACCUUGCGCGAUUGAAUGAGCCGAUGUCGGAUUAGCUAGUUGGCGGGGUAAAGGCCCACCAAGGCGACGAUCCGUAGCUGGUCUGAGAGGAUGAUCGGCCACACUGGAACUGAGACACGGUCCAGACUCCUACGGGAGGCAGCAGUGGGGAAUAUUGGACAAUGGGCGCAAGCCUGAUCCAGCCAUACCGCGUGGGUGAAGAAGGCCUUCGGGUUGUAAAGCCCUUUUAUUAGGAAAGAAAAACAGCAGGUUAAUACCCCGCUGUUCUGACGGUACCCAAAGAAUAAGCACCGGCUAACUUCGUG
rnacentral:rRNA from 1 species